AAUUUGUACGGACAUUCAUUAAGUCCAAUAAGUUUUAUUUUCUGAUCAUAUCGGGCUUUCGAAGUGCAAUCUAACCCUUCAUAAUAGUCAAAAGACAUUUUAAAAACCAAUUACAGGACAUUUAAUUACCUAUCGACUUCCCAAUAGGAAUGCAAUUGACGAAAUAUCAGCAGAGGUGCUCAAUCAGCGUAGUAAAUCGACCGUAUCUAGGGCAUUGUUUUCACCGUCGCUAAGGGACUGCCCCUUUUGUGACGUCAUCGCGAUAAGGUCAAUAUGUCCUUUAAACACUGGCAAAAUUGGUGGUUUGUAAUCCAUGUUUAUAUUUCAAAUUAUUCCCCUUGAAUGACACACAGCACACAUCUCGUAGUGUACAUUGUCAAUGACUAUUUAACACUUUAAAUCAAAGUGACAUCGAGUAAUUUUGGAUGAUUUCGAUCGAAGAAGGUUCGGAAAUGAUAUUUCCACAAUAAUAAAAUAGCAAAGCAGACGAAGGCCAGUCAUAUGGUAAAGGUGCAAAUGCUGUGGUCUGAGCCAGGUUCACCACUACUUCAAAACAUACGGUCUUGGCGAACAGCAUGCUCUGACUUUCAGUGUGACAACUGUUGUGGCCAAAAUCAAAACAACAUAGUCAUCUGGUACCUUCUGUGGAGAGUUCUUGUAGAAACUUCAAUGCAGAAACAUUGAUGUCAGGGCGUCUGUGGGGUUAUUGUCAAGGACGGGCCAUAACAUUCCCCAGUUUGUGGGGGACACUUCCAAUCCUGUUGUUUUCUACGGUUGGAAGGAUAACCUUUCAACAUUUUUUAACUCCAUAAAGAAUGUCGCCAAAUUUCACCAAUUCCAUGUGUCAGCAGAUCAUCCGGUUGUUGUGGGAGUGCAGGGAAUUUAGUGAUUCACCAGUAGUCAGAAUCACUCUCAGGAAGGUUUCGAAAGUUAAUGUUAAUGUGAGCUGUGACGACCUGCCAAAAGAAAUGUUUGCUAAAGGGCUUGAUCUAGACCGUCAGUGGUACUUAUUUGAACACAUACGUGAAUUCUGUCGCACAGAUGAAGCCAAAAACUUGACAUGUCCUAAAACCCGCUACUGGUAAGCGACAAAAAACAGACUCAGACUAUGCCCCCCCAAAACAGAAGAUGCAUUAAGAUGCACAACUGAUCUUCUCUGAUCAUGCCACAACAAUUACAUACAUCAUGUUUCAGUGUUUAUUUUGGCCAAGAUAUUGGGUGAUUUAUUUUCCCCCAAACAGUGCAAAAACCUUUUAUUUUGAGGAAAGCCAAUACAUGUACAUGUAUAUGAUUGCUAAAUCUGUUAGUUGUUACAGGUUUUGAAGUGUUCAAUACAAUAGUUAGUUGUUCUUAUUGCACAAGCAUGUUUUUCAAGCUUUUUACAUAUCAUUUUCACUAAACAAAAAUCAAUUAUUCAGUGUUACUUUCCUUUUUUUUUCACCUUAUGGACACAGACUGCCUUUCCGAAAAACUUGAAAAAAAUCAAUGUGAAUAUUUAUGUUUUACCAUGAAAAUCCUAUAAUUUUGUUUGUUUUCUUCGUUGUUUCCAUAGUAACAAAACAAUUGAUAUGUAAAAAAAUAUUGUUUAUUUUAUAAUGUCAGAAAUGAUGAUUAAUAAUCAUUAUUACAUUCACUGAAACAUUUAGUAUCCAAGUGUACUUUCAACCAACAGUUUUCAAUGCUGUUUUAUCCAUUCUGUUGUGUUUGAGGUUACAUUAUACUUGAAUACACAUGUAACUGAAUUAAAAAGGAAAUUGUACAUGGAACAAAAAAAAAUUGAUUGUUAUUGUUUUACUAGUUACAAAAACAGUGCAAUUUAUAUUGUUUUCGCCUUUAAACAAACACUUGAUUGAUAAUGCAAUUCAUAUAUUUAUAAAAGGCGUGAUUGUUUGCUCUGGUGAUUAUUACCAUGUAGAUCGGUUACCAUAGCAACACAAAAGGUACAUUUUAAAUGUCCAUAAUGCUGUUGUCAGUUUAUUGCAUUAUAAUUAUGUAUUUGAUGUCAGAAAGAUUAUUGUUUUAAUAAAACAGUUUGCUUGUUGUUU